CCUACGGGUGGCAGCAGUGGGGAAUAUUGGACAAUGGGCGAAAGCCUGAUCCAGCCAUGCCGCGUGUGUGAAGAAGGCCUUCGGGUUGUAAAGCACUUUCAGUGGGGAAGAAAGCCUUGGGGCUAAUACCCUCGAGGAAGGACAUCACCCACAGAAGAAGCACCGGCUAACUCCGUGCCAGCAGCCGCGGUAAUACGGAGGGUGCGAGCGUUAAUCGGAAUUACUGGGCGUAAAGCGCGCGUAGGCGGUCUGAUAAGCCGGUUGUGAAAGCCCCGGGCUCAACCUGGGAACGGCAUCCGGAACUGUCAGGCUAGAGUGCAGGAGAGGAAGGUAGAAUUCCCGGUGUAGCGGUGAAAUGCGUAGAGAUCGGGGGGAAUACCAGUGGCGAAGGCGGCCUUCUGGACUGACACUGACGCUGAGGUGCGAAAGCGUGGGUAGCAAACAGGAUUAGAUACCCCUGUAGUC
rnacentral:rRNA from 1 species